UACAGAGGUCCCGAGCGUUUGUUCGGAUUCACUGGGCGUAAAGGGUGCGUAGGUGGUGGGGUAAGUCGGAUGUGAAAUCUCGGAGCUCAACUCCGAAAUGGCAUUGGAAACUACCCUGCUGGAGGUUUGGAGGGGGGACUGGAAUACUUGGUGUAGUAGUGAAAUGCGUAGAUAUCAAGUGGAACACCAGUGGCGAAGGCGAGUCCCUGGACAAAACCUGACACUGAGGCACGAAAGCUAGGGGAGCAAACAGG
rnacentral:rRNA from 1 species